GACGAACGCUGGCGGCGUGCUUAACACAUGCAAGUCGAACGGAAAGGCCCUGCUUUUGUGGGGUGCUCGAGUGGCGAACGGGUGAGUAACACGUGAGUAACCUGCCCUUGACUUUGGGAUAACUUCAGGAAACUGGGGCUAAUACCGGAUAGGAGCUCCUGCUGCAUGGUGGUGGUUGGAAAGUUUCGGCGGUUGGGGAUGGACUCGCGGCUUAUCAGCUUGUUGGUGGGGUAGUGGCUUACCAAGGCUUUGACGGGUAGCCGGCCUGAGAGGGUGAACGGCCACAAUGGGACUGAGAUACGGACCAGAGUCCUACGGGAGGCAGCAGUGGGGAAUAUUGCACAAUGGGCGGAAGCCUGAUGCAGCAACGCCGCGUGCGGGAUGACGGCCUUCGGGUUGUAAACCGCUUUCGCCUGUGACGAAGCGUGAGUGACGGUAAUGGGUAAAGAAGCACCGGCUAACUACGUG
rnacentral:rRNA from 1 species